GAGGCAACUCUGAUCCAGCCUGCCGCGUGCAGGAAGACUGCCCUAUGGGUUGUAAACUGCUUUUAUACGGGAAGAACCNNUUNUACGUGUACAUGCUUGACGGUACCGUAUGAAUAAGGACCGGCUAACUCCGUGCCAGCAGCCGCGGUAAUAU
rnacentral:rRNA from 1 species